AGGUUUGCGCAGUGGCAGUAUCAUAAUGAAGUUAUUCUGAGGCGUGAUUAUUGCUAGUUGAAAACUUUUCCCUGACCUCCUCCAGCUGCCAAUUUGUGGUUUGAGGAAUAAUACGUCGCACUCUUCAGCACCUC
ensembl:snRNA U4 U4 spliceosomal RNA